rnacentral:rRNA from 1 species
GACGAACGCUGGCGGCGCGCCUAACACAUGCAAGUCGAACGGUGAAGAGGAGCUUGCUCCUCGGAACAGUGGCGGACGGGUGAGUAACACGUGAGCAACCUGGCCCUAAGAGGGGGACAACAGUUGGAAAAGACUGCUAAUACAGCAUGACGGAUCGGGAUGGCAUCUUCCUGAUACCAAAGAUUUUAUCGCUUAGAGAUGGGCUCGCGUCUGAUUAGAUAGUUGGCGGGGUAACGGCCCACCAAGGCGACGAUCAGUAGCCGGACUGAGAGGUUGAACGGCCACAUUGGGACUGCGGCACGGCCCAGACUGCUACGGGAGGGAGCAGUGGGGGAUAUUGGACGAUGGGGGCAACCCUGAUCCAGCGACGCCGCGUGAGAGAAGAAGGUUUUCGGAUUGUAAUCCUCUGUUGACGGAGAAAAAAAUGAUGGUAUCCGUUUAGAAAGCCACGGCUAACUACGUG